CCUGACUACGUUUAUCGACGGGAAGCAACAAGAUGAUGAAUUUAACUCUCCUUCUAUUGAUUGCGCUGAUCAUUGCUGUAGUUAGCAGUUAUCCUUUAGGAUGGUAUGAAUACGGCUACGGUGGCUAUCCAUGGAGUUCCGGCUACUACGGCCUGGGUGAUUACUAUGGCGGUUAUGGUUACUCUCCGUAUUGGUAUUAUUAACGGAUCACGGAACACUCACACUGGGAAAGCACAUUAUUAUUAUGAUCAAUGCUUCAUCUAGUUAAUAAGCGCAUCAAGAAAAUGGUAAUAUAUGUUAACAAUACCAAA